rnacentral:piRNA from 1 species
UGAAGCGCUGUUGAGCUUUACCAACGGCCUU